UAUCCAUCUGUCUACAUCCCCAUCAUCUUCAUCCCCAUCUGUGUUCCUGUGUCCCUGUCUUCAUCCCCAUUCUCAUCCAUAUCCUGAUCAUCUUCAUCCCUAUCUAUCUGCAUCCCUGUCUUCAUCCCCAUCAUCUUUAUCCCCAUCCAUUUGUCUUCAUCCUCAUCCUCAUCCCUGUACUAUCAUCUUCAUCCUUAUCCUCAUCACUACACCAUCAUCUUCAUCCCCAUCCAUGUGUCUGCAUCCCUGUCUUCAUCCCCAUCCUCAUCCCUAUCCCCAUCAUCUUCAUCCCCAUCACUCUCUUCAUCCCCAUCCUCACCCCUUCCAUCAUCAUUCCCAUCCCCAUCCAUCCAUCUGCAUCCCCAUCUUCAUCCCUAUUAUCCCCAUUUUCAUCCUCAUCCCUAUCCAUCUAUCUCCAUCCCCAUCUUCAUCCCCAUGCCCAUCAUCAUCCUCAUCUCCAUCCCUGUUUUCAUCCCCAUCCAUGUAUCUUCAUCCCCAUCCCCAUGCCCAUCACCAUCCUCAUCUCCAUCCCAUCCCCAUCCCCAUCCUCAUCCCCUCCAUCCCCAUCCCCAUGCCCAUCCUCAUGCCCAUCCUCAUCCUCACCUUCCUCCCCCUCCUCCUCCUCAGCACACGCUCAGCCACAGGUCUGCUCCUCAACAUGAUGAUGCUGAGUGAUGAGAACCACCGAGACAUCUACAUCAGCAUCGUGGCUACACCAGCACCGCUGCCCUGUGCCGUGUGCCGGGCCCCCGGUGAGUGUGGUACCCACAACACCCGGUACCACCAACCUGGUACCAUCACCUGGUACCAUCACCUGGUACCACCGGCACCGCUGCCCUGUGCCCUGUGCCGGGCCCCCGGUGAGCGCGGUACCCCCCGGUACAACCACCCCGGUACCACCAUCCUGGUACCUCCAUUCAGGUACCCCCACCCGGUACCACCACCCAAUACUAUCACCCUGGUACCCCCACCCGGUACCCCAUCCCGGUAACCCCAUCCCGGUGCCAUCAGCCCAGUACCAUCAUCCCAGUACCACUGGUGCUGAUGCUGAUGCUCUGUCCCCCCCCUCCCCAUGCAGGUUCUGGUACCCCCAUCUCC
rnacentral:lncRNA from 14 species